UGGGGAAUAUUGCGCAAUGGACGAAAGUCUGACGCAGCGACGCCGCGUGUGGGAGGAAGCUCUUCGGGGUGUAAACCACUGUCAGGAGGGAAGAACGGCGCCGGUUCGAACAGUUCCGGCGAUUGACGGUACCUCCAAAGGAAGCGCCGGCUAACUCCGUGCCAGCAGCCGCGGUAAGACGGAGGGCGCAAGCGUUGUUCGGAAUUACUGGGCGUAAAGCGCGGGCAGGCGGUCUGUUAAGUCGUUUGUGAAAAUCCGGGGCUCAACCCCGGAAAUGCAUACGAUACUGGCAGGCUGGAGACUGGUAGAGGCUAGCGGAAUUCCUGGUGUAGCGGUGGAAUGCGUAGAUAUCAGGAAGAACACCUGUGGCGAAGGCGGCUAGCUGGGCCAGUUCUGACGCUGAUCCGCGAAAGCGUGGGGAGCAAACAGGAUUAGGAUACCCAGGUAGUCCCUGAGCGGGCUGGCAAGGCGCAU
rnacentral:rRNA from 1 species